rnacentral:rRNA from 1 species
CCUACGGGAGGCAGCAGUGAGGAAUAUUGGUCAAUGGACGAGAGUCUGAACCAGCCAAGUAGCGUGAAGGAUGACUGCCCUAUGGGUUGUAAACUUCUUUUAUAAAGGAAUAAAACGAGGCACGUGUGCCUUUUUGCAUGUACUUUAUGAAUAAGGAUCGGCUAACUCCGUGCCAGCAGCCGCGGUAAUACGGAGGAUCCGAGCGUUAUCCGGAUUUAUUGGGUUUAAAGGGAGCGUAGAGGGGUUGUUAAGUCCGUUGUGAAAGUUUGCGGCCCAACCGUAAGAGUGCAAGUGAUACUGGAAGUCUUGAGUACAGUUGAGGUAGGCGGAAUUCGUGGUGGAGCGGUGAAAUGCUUAGAUAUCACGAAGAACCCCGAUGGCGAAGGCAGCUUACUAAACUGUGACUGACAUUGAUGCUCGAAAGUGUGGGUAUCAAACAGGAUUAGAUACCCCUGUAGUC